UCAUAAGCGGAGGAAAAGAACCAACAGGGAUUGCCCCAGUAACGGCGAGUGAAGCGGCAACAGCUCAAAUUUGAAAUCUGGCCCUCGGGUCCGAGUUGUAAUUUGUAGAGGAUGCUUUUGGCGCGGUGCCUUCCGAGUUCCCUGGAACGGGACGCCAUAGAGGGUGAGAGCCCCGUCUGGUUGGACACCAAGCCUCUGUAAAGCUCCUUCGACGAGUCGAGUAGUUUGGGAAUGCUGCUCUAAAUGGGAGGUAUAUGUCUUCUAAAGCUAAAUACCGGCCAGAGACCGAUAGCGCACAAGUAGAGUGAUCGAAAGAUGAAAAGCACUUUGAAAAGAGAGUUAAAUAGCACGUGAAAUUGUUGAAAGGGAAGCGUUUAUGACCAGACUUGGGCUUGGUUGAUCAUCCCGCGUUCUCGCGGGUGCACUCUUCCGGCUCAGGCCAGCAUCAGUUCGCUGCGGGGGAUAAAGGCGUCGGGAAUGUGGCUCCCUCGGGAGUGUUAUAGCCCUUCGUGUAAUACCCUGCGGUGGACUGAGGACCGCGCUUCGGCAAGGAUGCUGGCGUAAUGGUCAUCAACGACCCGUCUUGAAACACGGACCAAGGAGUCGUCUUCGUAUGCGAGUGUUCGGGUGUCAAACCCCUACGCGUAAUGAAAGUGAACGCAGGUGAGAGCUUCGGCGCAUCAUCGACCGAUCCUGAUGUUCUCGGAUGGAUUUGAGUAAGAGCAUACGGGGCCGGACCCGAAAGAAGGUGAACUAUGCCUGUAUAGGGUGAAGCCAGAGGAAACUCUGGUGGAGGCUCGCAGCGGUUCUGACGUGCAAAUCGAUCGUCAAAUAUGGGCAUGGGGGCGAAAGACUAAUCGAACUUCUAGA
rnacentral:rRNA from 1 species